GAUGAACGCUAGCGGCAGGCUUAAUACAUGCAAGUCGAGGGGCAGCAGUUUUGUAGCAAUACAGAAGCUGGCGACCGGCAAACGGGUGCGGAACACGUACGCAACCUUCCUUUAACUGGGAGAUAGCCCACCGAAAGGUGGAUUAAUAUCCCAUAAUAUAACUGAAUGGCAUCAUUUAGCUAUUAAAGCUCCGGCGGAUAAAGAUGGGCGUGCGUCUGAUUAGGUAGUUGGCGGGGUAACGGCCCACCAAGCCUUCGAUCAGUAGCUGAUGUGAGAGCAUGAUCAGCCACACGGGCACGGAGACACGGGCCCGACUCCUACGGGAGGCAGCGGUAAGGAAUAUUGGUCAAUGGACGCAAGUCUGAACCAGCCAUGCCGCGUGGAGGAUGAAGGCCCUCUGGGUUGUAAACUUCUUUUCUUUGGGACGAAACCCCUGUUUCUACGGGGACUGACGGUACCAGAGGAAUGAGCACCGGCUAACUCCGUGCCAGCCGCCGCUGUAAAAC
rnacentral:rRNA from 1 species